GGGGAACGUGAGGAGAAAGGUCAGGAAGAACCAGCCUCAAGAUACCAUGGAGCUUUUAUAAAAGAGCAAGUACCUCAAGAACCAGGGAAUUCCAGACUACAGUAAGUAUUUACAUGGGAGUUUUUUAAUAUUUACUUUAUUGUUUCACUUGAACGCUUAUGGUAUAAUUUCAGUUAUAGAUCAUGAUGCAGCUGCUCAUCUCAUCAUCUGUAAAGGGGAGAUUCCACAUAUAUUUCUAAAGCAGUUCUACAAGAGAGUUGUGUUUGGGUGCAACAAACUUCACUGUCUAAGCCUUCCAUGUUCCCAGACCCUUGAAUAUUCCAUAAAACGUUGGUGUCUGAAAACAGUUGCUACGACUGUCAACUGAAAUUGUUCUUCAACCAACACCUUGUCUUUAUGGCCACAUUGCUAAAAGCAACCUGUCAGCAGCACAUCAGGAGCAGCUGCAGUGUCUACAUUGG
ensembl:lncRNA